rnacentral:rRNA from 1 species
UAGCACAUUAUUAUUUUAAUCCUCCACCUAUAUUGAGUAAUUCUAUACUACUAUAGAAAAUUUUAUGUUAAAACUAGUAACAAGAAGAAGACCCUUCUCUUAAAUGUAAGUGUAAAUCAGAAAGGACCAACCACUGAUAUUUAACAUCUCUGAACCUAAAACAGCAACUAACCAAGAAAACCCUAUUUAAACCUAUGUUAAUCUAACACAAGAACAUUUUAAGAAAGAUUUAAAGAAAAAGAAGGAAUUCGGCAAAUAUUAACCUCGCCUGUUUACCAAAAACAUCGCCUCUUGUGCUAUUAUAAGAGGUCCAGCCUGCCCAGUGACCCUGUUCAACGGCCGCGGUAUCCUAACCGUGCGAAGGUAGCGUAAUCACUUGUUCUCUAAAUAAGGACUAGUAUGAAUGGCACCACGAAGGUUAUACUGUCUCCCUUUUCUAAUCAGUGAAACUAAUCUCCCUGUGAAGAAGCAGGGAUAAAAAUAUAAGACGAGAAGACCCUAUGGAGCUUUAAACAACAUAGCAUUUAUCAUAACCUUCUUUAACUCCCGAGUUAUACUCAAUAGAUAAUAUGACUAUAAGUUUUUGGUUGGGGUGACCACGGAGCAUAACAUAACCUCCAUGUUGAAGAAAUCAACCUCUAAAUUAAGAACCACGCUUCUAAAAAUCAACACCUUGACAUUAAUUGACCCAGUAUAUUUGAUCAACGAACCAAGUUACCCUAGGGAUAACAGCGCAAUCCACUUCAAGAGCUCCUAUCGACAAGUGGGUUUACGACCUCGAUGUUGGAUCAGGGUCUCCCAGUG